GCAGGGAUUUGCAUUGACUGGUGCAUAACUAGAUGAUUGCAUAAAGCAUUGCAUGGAAGUUGAUUUAUAAUUAGUUUAUGAAUAAACUCACAUUGGUUGAUCGAAUAUAUCAAAUGCAUUUGAUUGGUUGAUGGUCCCUUAGUGUCGUUCCAAUUGAAGUGUUCCUCAAAUAUUGAUUCAAUACAUUACCUCGGGCUGACCAAUUCAUUUCAUCAAGUUCCUCGAGAUAUUCAUACACUUCCUGUGAAAGAGCCAAUUCCAAUGUCAAAAAUUUUUUUCGGAAAUAACUUUUUUUAAACAAAAUAUUGCAAAUUUUCCCCCUUAUACCUAAAUUUUCAAAAAAUAACCUAAAUUUUUCCCUAAUUAUCAAAAUUUUUUUCAAAAAAUUCAAAUUUUCUGGGGGGGCUUUAGCCCCCCUGUUCCGCCGCCCCUGUUCCUUUCUAUUUAUGAUUGGUUAGUUGCACAAACAACAAAGGUGAUUGGUGCAUUCAAACUAUUCAACAGGAAGUUUACAAUUAUACUAGGAAGUGUAUGAAUAUUUCGAGGAACUUGAUGAAAUGAAUUGGUCAGCCCGAUGUAAUGUAUUGAAUCAAUAUUUGAGGAACACUUCAAUUGGAACGACAGUAAUGGUAAUGGUAGUCAAAUCUGAACCUAUAUAAUGUCAAUAUACUGGAAAAGUAUCAAAUUAAAUUUUAAUUGUCAAUGUUGUGGAAAGUAAAUAAAUCAAACAAUUCUGUUUGUUUCAACUAACUAGUUUACUAUCACUUUGGUUUUCAAAUCAAAGAAUCUUUAGCCUGGUUGAGCUUUUGAAAAAGUAGCUGCUUGAUUGAUUGAAUGCAAGAUUAUUUUACUCCGUCUAACGCCAGACAAUUUCACUCGUCAAGGGGAAAAGUGCUGCCACUCAGUGAACUCAAUCAGAGCUCAAUGAGCAGCAGCACUCUCCCUCGAUAAGUAAAAUCAUCUGGCAUUAGAUGAAGUGAAAUAAACUAGUAAAGUAGGGUGCAUUGGGGCACAAUGCAGCUUACUGGGUUAACUGGAAAAUAUAUUUAUUAAACAAUAUACAUCCUAUACUUGUAUUUCAAUUCACAGCAUGAUUUAGUAUGCUUAUGUCUAUUUGACCCAAGUACCUGCCAGGAAUGAUAUUUGAAUCGCACCUGUAUUCAUUGAACAAAGCUAAUUUAAAUGUACAUUAAUUGUACAUGAACCAUGUAAAUGUAAAAACUAGCUGGAGCAAAAACACACCCACACAGCUUUGUUUUUUUUUAUUUUUCUUGAGAAGGAAUAACUGAGUUACAAUGAGACCAGUAUCAACAAUUUCAAAAAGGUAUUGUACAAAAAUAACAGAAAAAACACAAAGUAUGUCACUAGUAUUCUGUGAUAUAGAUGAUAUUGCUUUAAAACUUGCAGCUUUUAGCAGUUGUCUAAGGGCCUGUUUAUAUCGAAACUGGCUGGCCCACUAAGUGGUCUAGUUAUUUUUAUAGUACAAAUUAUCAUUUCUAUGGACAAGCAGGCAGGCCCGGUUGCCAAGACCAGGAUGGAAAUUUCUCCACAUAAACAAUCAUAAGCAGGCUAGCCCGGUUGCCGGAAUGAAAGUUCAAAGAUACUGCCGCAAGCUAUUUUUAACAACUGUCAAAAUAAUGUCAAUGAAAACAACAAAAUUGUCCCGGUAAGCGGAAUGAAAUUUUCUCAAAUAAACACAAGAGAAAUCAUCCUGCUUACCUAUACCUUACCGGGCUGUCUUGCUAAGAGGGCCAGCCCGGCUUCCAUACAAACAGGCCCUAACAGUCUCUGUCAGGCAAUUGCAAUGUUCUAAUGUCCAAACUCGAUUGAUGUCCAAUACCCACGAUCGGAGUCCGAUGGAGAAAUCCAUCAUACAUGUGCUACCGAUUGAUCCGAUGGACAAACAUGUCUACCGUCGGAAAAAAGUUUGCCCGAUGGAGAAAUACACGUAGACAAAUAGAGCAUAACGUGAUAUUAAUUCAUAACAUAAAUAUAAGAACUAUUGGAACAGUCAGGCAUGACAAAUAAGUCGGAC